CCUUAGAGUUUGAUCCUGGCUCAGGACGAACGCUGGCGGCGUGCCUAAUACAUGCAAGUAGAACGCUGAAGAGAGGAGCUUGCUCUUCUUGGAUGAGUUGCGAACGGGUGAGUAACGCGUAGGUAACCUGCCUUGUAGCGGGGGAUAACUAUUGGAAACGAUAGCUAAUACCGCAUAACAAUGGAUGACACAUGUCAUUUAUUUGAAAGGGGCAAUUGCUCCACUACAAGAUGGACCUGCGUUGUAUUAGCUAGUAGGUGAGGUAACGGCCCACCUAGGCGACGAUACAUAGCCGACCUGAGAGGGUGAUCGGCCACACUGGGACUGAGACACGGCCCAGACUCCUACGGGAGGCAGCAGUAGGGAAUCUUCGGCAAUGGGGGCAACCCUGACCGAGCAACGCCGCGUGAGUGAAGAAGGUUUUCGGAUCGUAAAGCUCUGUUGUAAGUCAAGAACGAGUGUGAGAGUGGAAAGUUCACACUGUGACGGUAGCUUACCAGAAAGGGACGGCUAACUACGUGCCAGCAGCCGCGGUAAUACGUAGGUCCCGAGCGUUGUCCGGAUUUAUUGGGCGUAAAGCGAGCGCAGGCGGUUUGAUAAGUCUGAAGUUAAAGGCUGUGGCUCAACCAUAGUUCGCUUUGGAAACUGUCAAACUUGAGUGCAGAAGGGGAGAGUGGAAUUCCAUGUGUAGCGGUGAAAUGCGUAGAUAUAUGGAGGAACACCGGUGGCGAAAGCGGCUCUCUGGUCUGUAACUGACGCUGAGGCUCGAAAGCGUGGGGAGCGAACAGGAUUAGAUACCCUGGUAGUCCACGCCGUAAACGAUGAGUGCUAGGUGUUGGAUCCUUUCCGGGAUUCAGUGCCGCAGCUAACGCAUUAAGCACUCCGCCUGGGGAGUACGACCGCAAGGUUGAAACUCAAAGGAAUUGACG
rnacentral:rRNA from 1 species